UUGGUUCGACAGCAGAUCAGACUACUCGUUGUUGAGGCGUUGCUGUCUACUCUGAAUAAACAUUAGGUAAUUUCUCAACCUUUUCACCCCGAUUCGUUCCUCACACAAGGAUUUCUGGUUGGGAUCGCCGAAUUAUUAUUUUUCCACUACGCCAUAGGGGUGCUGGCGAUCCAACAAGACAUGUAAAAUAACCUAUAUAUUUCACGAAUAUAAAAAUAUGUCAAAAUUUAUAUAAAAUAAAUAAUUGAAGUAUAAAAAAUUAAAUAUAAGUUUAUAAUAUUUUCUUUUUCCAGAAAAUUUAUAUUAUUCUAAGAUACGGAAAUAAUAUAAGCAUUAAGACAGUUUUAUCGUAAUUCACUUGUAAAAUAAAUAUCUACCAACAAGUGGUUGCGUGCAAUAGUUCGCACUCUUAAUGAGAGAACAUAGGUUCGAAUCUUAGAGGCAACUUGUUAGGAUGAGCAACCAUGAACUCCAAACAUGGACCGUAAAAUGCAUAUAUAUAUUUAUAUCUAAUUCAAGUCUGCCAUGCAUUUGUGCCAUGUAGUUUGACUUUGCAUGUGGAACUGCCUUCAAUGUUACUUCACAUGUCACUACAGGACAUUCAUAUAUCUUCACAAGUAUUACUGAUACAGUAUUUCACCAACUAAAUUACAUUGAAACGCAGGCUUGGUUUCUUCAUAUGAAUUUAGUAUUUCACCUACUGAAUUUACUUUGAUCCCUCCCAUUUCUGUCUUGGUCUCCAAAACAAACAAAUAAAUUUAAAAAACAUUUCAUCCCCCACAUCUAGUUUAUCAAAAAUACCUCUACAGCUAAGCUAAAUCCGUCCAUUCUAGCAAUUAUAAAUAAGCAACCCAAUGCCAUGUGAUUCCUUUGCACUGCAACCCCUUCAUAGCUUUAUCAUGACCCCAAAUUUCACCAUUUAGUUUUGUUCACGGGUGUUCAGUGCCUGAGUUAGCCUCAAUUAUUGCUCCUAAAUUACCCUUCCCUACAUGCUUUUGACUCCAUAGUUCCGGACAGCCCAGUUACAUGCCCCUUUUACUCACUCCAUUAAAACAGAUAAGCAAGCAACGAGUCAGCUGCUUCAACCACGGAAGGAGAAAAUCAAGAACACGAGAUAGUGGAAGGUUUAGCUGAUUCCAACCCAGAAAAUCUUCCCUUUUGUAGGUACUCCACUCAGUUUUCAAGUUUCAAUUAAUUCAUGAUUUUGCUAGUACUGAUAUCACAGUUGAUGCAACUUUUAUCCCGUUAUCCCCUCACUAUUUUUUCUUCAGAACAACACGUGAACAACUUUAAUGUUUUCCCUUUACCCUACAUGUGAUGUGAAGCCCUCUUUUUUUUCUUAAAUGCCUCCUCCCACUCAUUUAAACCAUCAGCAAUGCAUGCGUGACUUGUAAGCAUUAAAUUCAGAGCUAAUUGUUGGACUCUUUGAACUAAAUCUUUCUGUUAAGCAUCAAAGGAGUCUUGCUUAUGCCUUGCAAGACUCCUUUGAACUAAUUCAGAGCUAAUUGUUGGACUCUUUGAACUAAAUCUUUCUGUUAAGCAUCAAAGGAGUCUUGCACAUUGUAUUAUCGCAUAGAUUCUUUGCUAACUAGUCUUUUUGCAUGCUAAUUUGAGCUAGGGAGAAUCUUGAGCAAGUGAUUUUGAGCUUAUUAUAAACUUUUGGUCUAAAAAAUAAAACCCCACAAUGAAUGUGACAAAUGAAGGCACUAACCCACAUAAAACAAGCUACUCUCUUCUCUCUCCUACCCCAUCAAGUCCACAUAUUGCCAAAAUACAUUCACAUGUCUAUGUUUUCUUGUGAAAAAGGAUAAAGUUCCUCCACUUUUGCUUACAGUUGUAUCUCCACCAACUACUACUACUACUACUAUCCUCUAUCCACACUCCAAAACCCAUCUUCAACUUCAUGGUAAAUGCUCUAUAAGCUAUUCAUUGAAGCCAACCAUUCAUAGGGAAAAGCUAUGUGGAAGUUUGUCUCUCAUCUCCCAAAAUUUGCUGCCAUGAACCUAAUGAUUCUCUUCCUUUUUUCUUCUCUGUUCAUUAAGGCAUUCUCUUUGAAACCUGAGCCAGCAAAAAAUAAUGCCCAGAUCACUGUCAUGGGCCUUGUUUAUUGUGACAUUUGCUCCAACAACAGCUUCUCCAGACACAGCUACUUCUUACCAGGUGAAAUUUCUCAACAACGACCUAUGGUUUUUUCCAAGUUUUGCUGUUUUGUUCUUUUUACUAAGUUAAAAGAAAGCAUGGUUCUAAUUAUCGAGAUAUUGUGUAAACCAGGUGCAGAAGUUCAAAUAGCCUGCAACUUCAGGGCAUUUGUUCCAAAAACAAGAGAACAAGUAUCAUUCUCAGUCAACAGAACUACAGAUAAACAUGGAGUUUACAGGUUGGAAAUACCAUCAGUUGAUGGGAUCGCAUGUGCAGAGGCAGCCAUUGCAUCAUCUUGCCAGGC
rnacentral:lncRNA from 1 species